GACGAACCGUGCGAACGUUAUUCGGAAUCACUGGGCUUAAAGGGCGCGUAGGCGGGCAAGCAAGUCGGAGGUGAAAGCCCACGGCUCAACCGUGGAAGGGCCCCCGAUACUGCAUGUCUGGAGGGAGAUAGGGGCGUGCGGAACUUCCGGUGGAGCGGUGAAAUGCGUAGAUAUCGGAAGGAACACCGGUGGCGAAAGCGGCGCGCUGGAUCUCUACUGACGCUGAGGCGCGAAAGCCAGGGGAGCAAACGGG
rnacentral:rRNA from 1 species